AGGGUUUAGGGUUUGGGGUUUAGAGUUUAGGGGUGGGGUUUAGGGUUUAGGGUUUAGAGUUAAGGGGUGGGAUUUGGGGUUUAGGAUUUAGAGUUAAGGGGUGGUGUUUAGGAUUUAGAGUUUAAAGUUUUGAGUUUAGAGUUUAGGUUUUAGGGUUUAGAGUUGGGGAGUGAGAUUUUGGAAUAAGAUUUUAAUUUUGAAAAAUAAAAAAAAUUUAAAUUUUUCAAAAGAUAAAAUGCUAUUUUGGUCAUUUUAAUUUUU
rnacentral:lncRNA from 1 species